GGGUGCCAUAGCCAUCUCCUUGAAGUCUGUAGGUAGAAGUGAGUAUGCAAAAUCUUCUGUCAACGAGGAAGGAAGAUGCUUGUUACGUGUUGAUGUAUUCCAAGUUGUGCCUUGGUAUGUCAAGGUUUAUUACCAUACACUUAAAGUGUUUCUAGAUGAACGUCUUCACAGUUUAGCAGAUGUUGUAGAAAGGACAAACGUUUCGCCUUCUGAAGACAAGGUUUCCCCUGGGCUAAUGGAAAUAGCAUUGCGGUUGCCAUGUGAUGUGCACUCGGUGAUAUUGACAUUGGAGUUUGAUAAGGGUUUUCUGCACAUCGAUGAGUAUCCUCCAGAUGCUAACCAGGGAUUUGACAUUCCAUCAGCUUUAAUCAGGUUUCCUGGGAUCAAAACAAAGAUGGAUUUAUUUGAGGAUAAAUCUGCUUGCAAGUCACCUAUCUUAUCCAAGCUACAGGAAGAAAGCCCUGUUCUAUGGUACACAGAAGUACUGCUUGUACCCUUGACCACUCCUGAUUUUAGCAUGCCAUA
rnacentral:misc_RNA from 1 species